GGAAGAUGACUUUAAUGAUAUUUCAAAUUCUUUGCUUCAAACUUUCGACAAAAUAAAAAAUUUUGAUUUGAAUAAAAACAAAUUUUCCAAUGAAUCAGAUGUGACUAUUCAUCUUAAAGAAAUCGAGGAAUUAAAAAUGAUAACUAAUUUAGCACAAACAAAAUUAUGUCGUAUACGUGAGAAAAUCCAAGUUGAUUCAGCCUUAUAUUGCAAAAUCGAAGAAAAAAAUUAUCUUAAAGAUGCAAUAAUAGUCAAAAUUAAUGAUCGGGAACUGAUGUUAAAGAAAACGUUAGAAGUAAUUACAGAUUUUCAAUCAAAUCUCAAAAUGUUGAAACUUUGAUCGAGAACGCUCAGGAAGAACUUUCCAUGUUGAGUCAUCUUUCUCUUAGUAUAGACGACACUAUUGAGCAAAUUUCAUCACUAGAAGCUAUGGAUGCGGAUUUUGAAAAAAUAGAAAUCGAAUAUGAAUUAUUUACUGAAUUUGUAGACUGUAUACCAAAUCAAUGGCCUAAUAUAAAUAUAUUUGAAAUCAAAGAAAAAUGUCUUUCACUUGGACGAACUUUAAAUAAACUUAAAAGAAAUUACAUUGAAAAACUAGAAAACUGUAAAUCAGUAUUCA